GUAUGAUCCAAAAGGUGAUUCAUGGUCAACUGUGGCACCUCUGAGUGUUCCUCGAGAUGCUGUUGCUGUGUGCCCUCUUGGAGACAAACUCUACGUGGUUGGAGGAUAUGACGGACAUACUUAUUUGAACACAGUUGAGUCAUAUGAUGCACAGAGAAAUGAAUGGAAAGAGGAAGUUCCUGUUAACAUUGGAAGAGCUGGUGCAUGUGUUGUAGUGGUGAAGCUACCCUAAAGCUAUCUAUCUUUAUCAAAUGGAAUGAAACUGGAUAAUUUCAAGAAACUGAGUAGGACAAAGAGAGAAAGAAAUACAUGUUCUUUUUCCUGCAAUUAAUAAUCAGACUGGAAAAUUGUUGUAUCAUUUUAAUUUGUAGUUACAAUUGCUUUCAUUCGUGAAGCCGAAACGUUUUUAAACAUGAAUUACAUAUGAAUUAUUAAGCAUAUGUGCUUUCGCAGCUGAUAAUAUAAAAGGAAAUCCCAUAGUCUAGAUAUAGCCCCAUUACUACAAAAUGCUAAAAUAUUUAAUGAAAAUUGAUGGUGGCCACAGUGUGCAGGUUAUAAAAGCAUUAAUACAUUUCAAGGUAAGAGCCUUAGAAGUUAAAAACAUUUUCAGUUUUUUUUAAAAAACGUACUCUUAUUAUCUGGAACAUAGAAAUAUAAAAGGUAACAUCUAAAGCUUAGAAUAGUGUGAUUUUUAGUAAGCCAUUAUUCUCCUAUUCAAAUAAUAUCCCAAAGAGCUAAACAAUUCCUUACAUUUACCAAGAGGAAAGCUUUUACUGUGUUGAAGCUAAAAAAAAUAAUGGCUCUUUGACAAAACUUGUUAUGUUCAUCACGGUAUGUCAAAAUUUUUACAGGUUUGCUCAUCUGCCAGAGCACACAUAUAAAUUUGGUAUUUCUUAACAUAUUAUCUUGUUAGAUUUGUUAUCAGUAAAAUAUUACUGUAAUUUCAUAUACACAGUCUAUACAAUGAAAUAAUGAAUAUUUAUCAUAUUGAUACAAACUGUGACCUCAGCUUCAGAGUGUCAGGGCCUCACUUGUAUAGAAUGUAAUGUUCUCCUCAAACAUUUAUGUUAACUCUAUAAACAAAUAUUGUUAAGUUAAACAAGUUUUCAAAAACAAAACAAUUUUUAAAGUACCUUAAAAUUGAGGAUGUUACUCAGUGUUAACAAAUGGGAACACCAAAAUAUUCAAUAAGCCUGGUCAAUUCUAUAGUUAUCUUUUUUGUACCAACACAUGCUUUUCUGUUACUGUUAUAUUAUCCAGUAGAAAAUGUUAGGAUAUGUGUGCUAUAUAUAAAAAAAAAGACUUGUUAAGUUGUAAAAUAACAAAAAUGGCUAGUUGAAUAGUAUUUUAUGUGUAAUUCUUCCAUUUAUUCUGUUUAAUUAUACAACUAAGAUGAAAUAUUGAAAAACCCUUUGUGAAAGUAACUUUUCAAGUAAAUGCACAACUUUAGAAUUUCUACAAAUAAGUUCUUUUAAACAGUCUUUUUAUUGUGGAUUGUGAAAUCAAAAUCUGGAGAAAUGCUUACAAAAUAUACUACUAGCUUUUAAGUUUUAAGAAAGAACAACGUAAGUUGUGCAAAGAUAUUUGUACUUUGACAAACUGAAUUUAAAUAAACUUUAUUUCCUCUCACUAUAGUGUGGCUUUAGAAUAUACCAAGUACAACCUGAAUGGACUUUUUGAUUUUACAUUUCCUAUAUCACUAAAAUACUUAAACACAAAAAUAAAAUUCCCCUCCUUUAUUUCUUCUUACACCUGCCAUUGUCUCUAAUUCUAAAGAGAGAGCUAUAGAUUUCUGCAGUUCUAGAGGUGAAGAUAGAGACAUAGAGAGGCUGUGAAACACACAUACAGCCCUGUUAGGUCUUUUGAAUUCACACCUUAUUGAAAUCAGUGUAGAAGUAGAGUUACCUAAACCUUUAUCGCCAAUGCACAGCUUGGCCUGUUAAGUUAAAUGUGGGUGUCAACCAGUGGAAAAGAUCAAAGGACCUUUUGCAGCCUAGCUUGCCAAUCUUCCAGUAACAACGAGGUGCUACCAAUAGGCAGACUGUGUCUAGAGUCAUGCAUGGACAAGAGGAAAGUGAAAGUUGAAUACUCUCUUCUCAAUGGCAUAGCUGGACUUGAUUAAGUAUUGACUCAUAGAAGAGACAUGUAUGUUUCCCAGGGCUACCCCUUCAUAGCUGCAUUUAAAAAUGGUGUUCAGGCCACUAUGGCUGCUGUGGUUUGAAUAUUUUUUUCCCUCGAAAACUCAUGUUGAAACUUAACUCCUAAUGUAGCAGUACUGAGAGGCAGGGCCCUUAAGAGGUGAUUGGGCCAUGAGGUCUGUGCCCUCCUGAAUGGAUUAAUCCAUUCAUGGAUUAAUGGAUUAUUAUGAGUGGGGGACUGGUGACUUUAUAUGAAAAGGAAGGAAGAGUGACCUAAGCUAGCAUGCUCAGGGUGCACCGUAUGUCCCCUGGUCAUGUGAUGCUAUGUGUUACCUUGGGACUUACCUGACAGCUCUUACCAACAAGAAGGCCAUCCCAGAUAUGGCCUCUCAACCUCAGACUUCUCAGCCUGCCUAACUGUAAGAAAUUAAUUCUUUUUCUUUAUAAAUUACCCAGGUUCUGUUUUAAGCCUCAGAAAAUGAACUAAGACAAUGCCCUAGAUGAGCUGCCAAAAUCUGAGCAGAUAUCAGCCAUCAGAAUAGAGACCUGCAGAGGCCCAGGGCACUCAAACAUAACUGUGCUUGUCUUAGUCAAACUUAAUUGGGAAAAGGAGGAGUAAGAGCAGGCCCUUUCUGACAUGCUUUAGCAGAGAUAACUUAUCAGGUCUAGUUUAAACAAAUGUGUAUAGGAAAGGAUGUUAUUUAUAUAUUCUUUCAAGAGUGUAAGGGCUCACACAUUUACUAUACUCAGAUCUGAAAGACAAUGUUGCUUCUUGAUUUUUUUCUAUAAUCACUAUGACCGUGUUCAGGAUUCCCUACUCUGCAACUCUCAGCAUGCAUCAUGAUGAUUCUCUAACACUGUCUGUCACCUUCCUGUAUUUCCACAGGGCAUGAAGAACUUCUACAAAACUUCUAUACCACACAGAAGCUGAAAGAGACUCUGGGGCACUAAAUUCAGAUCCUUUCUCCACACAGCAAUGCCAUUUAUCAAUCUGACUCAGGUGUGGCUGUUGCCCCUUUUUGAUAUGGAGGGAACACUGAAAGACAGUUUCCUUCUGGAGUUCCAAAUGCAAUAUAGAAAAAAAAACCCUGUGACUCUGGGUUUUAUUUUAAGUUCUCUAACAAGACUCCUACCUUGAGAUCUUAGUCUAGGUAAAGAAAAAAAAAAUGUCAUGAAACACAUAUGUCCUCAACUGUCAUCAUUCUAUGUUUACUUUCUCCCAAUCACAUCACCUGAGGUAGAAGAGAUUUUUCAGUUGCUAUUUCUCUUCGUAAUGAAUUUUCUUUACAUCUUGUCCACACUGCUGGAGAUACUAAGUCCCAACCUAAAUGAUGGAAGGAGCAUCUCUCCUCUUGUCUGUGGAAGAUAUCACAUGAACUACCUAAUUUUCAAGCAUGGCUCUCCAUAUUUCAAAGGAAAGUUUUUAAAAUGUUUUUAAAAUUUCAAAUAUCUCACCACAGUGAAUUAUGGGUAAGGUGAUAAUAUGUUUAAUUAGCUUGAUUUAAUCAUCC
rnacentral:lncRNA from 1 species